CAUAGGGGAGCAUGCAAAUAUCAAAAAUGGAGAGUUUGUUCAACUUAUCGGUGUCAAUUUCCUUUUUGGUUCAUAUUUUCCAUUUGCAGUGUCUGGAUUAGUGUGCUUUGUUACGUGGCUUGACAGUAGAAUCCUACCCAUGGGGUAAAAUCUGUACUGGUAGCUAGCUGGGGACUACUAAAUGGUUACAAAUCAAAAACAAACCCAAAACAAACAGUACUACACGCUUGUCAAAAGGUUAAUAGCACAAGUUAGCAAUACCUAAACUAAACAUUGAAACAUUUUCAUGGGACACAGUGGUGCAAAUUUUUCCAUUGCUUGUUCUACCUGGUUGUGUAUUUCAGAGUUCGGAGCUGUGGGAAAGUGUGACCAAGGGUCAAUCUGGAACUCCUGAUCUCAGACAAUUCAGUACGUUAUCAGCCUUUCUAAAUGGAGAAGAACCAACACAGUGAGCUACCCCAGUGACAUGAAAAUCUUGUGUACAAGGACAUUGGAUGGUAAAGGGUACACAGUGAAUUCAUCUUAACAUUCACACUUGGUUUCCAUACAGUGGAGUCAAUUAAAAUAUCCUAGAAAAUAAUUCAGAUGGCAACUUGUAGCCAUCCACUGAUUUGCAAACCCUUUUGAAAUUUAAAUUUGAAAAAAAUUCCCAGUCCACUGAGUCGACUUGGAAAUACUUUCAUCCACUUAUUUCUCAUAAGACUUUACUAAGCGUCUACCAAUUAGUGUCAUAAAAAUGAAUAAAAAAGGCUAAAACAUUUGGCUUAAAAUAAAUACUAAAAAUGCAAUAAAUCAAGCAAAUUAUGCAAACCAAAGGAAUGUAAACACAAAAAUAAAACCACAGUCUUUAAAGGUCUUCAGAUCUGAAUGGACAAAACAUUCAGAGAAAGGUAUUUAAUUGGUUUAAAAGGUAGCAGAGAGCAAACAUUGGCAACGUUCUUUUAACUUGAUAUAGCUUUAAUGGUGAUUUUUUUUCACUGAAAAGAAAACAUGUUUCUAAGGGGGUUGAACAGAGAUGAGCAUAAAAACUGCAUGUCAGAAAAGAUAGUUUGUCUGCUCCAACUCCAAGGGCAGGACUACCUGUCCUGGGGUAGAGGGCAGGCAGAAGUGCCACAUGGGUGCUGGCGGACAGCAUGGGAUGCUUCUGCCAGCUGUAUUUAGGCCUUCUUCAGGCUACUGUGGAAAUCCUGACUAAGCUUCAAUUUGUUCUCUACCUUACAGAGACCCCACUGAUGUUUUGCUUUGCUUGCUUAAGAUGUAUUGAUUUGAAUUGCCCAAAACAUUUAUUUUCCUUUUACAAACCCUGUAACUC